rnacentral:rRNA from 1 species
CCUACGGGUGGCAGCAGUGGGGAAUAUUGGACAAUGGGGGGAACCCUGAUCCAGCCAUGCCGCGUGUGUGAAGAAGGCCCUCGGGUUGUAAAGCACUUUCAGUGAGGAAGAACGCCUGGUGGUUAAUACCCAUCAGGAAAGACAUCACUCACAGAAGAAGCACCGGCUAACUCCGUGCCAGCAGCCGCGGUAAUACGGAGGGUGCGAGCGUUAAUCGGAAUUACUGGGCGUAAAGCGCGCGUAGGUGGCUUGAUAAGCCGGUUGUGAAAGCCCCGGGCUCAACCUGGGAACGGCAUCCGGAACUGUCAAGCUAGAGUGCAGGAGAGGAAGGUAGAAUUCCCGGUGUAGCGGUGAAAUGCGUAGAGAUCGGGAGGAAUACCAGUGGCGAAGGCGGCCUUCUGGACUGACACUGACACUGAGGUGCGAAAGCGUGGGUAGCAAACAGGAUUAGAUACCCUUGAGUC